CUACGGGUCGCUGCAGUGGGGAAUAUUGCACAAUGGGCGCAAGCCUGAUGCAGCCAUGCCGCGUGUAUGAAGAAGGCCUUCGGGUUGUAAAGUACUUUCAGCGGGGAGGAAGGGAGUAAAGUUAAUACCUUUGCUCAUUGACGUUACCCGCAGAAGAAGCACCGGCUAACUCCGUGCCAGCAGCCGCGGUAAUACGGAGGGUGCAAGCGUUAAUCGGAAUUACUGGGCGUAAAGCGCACGCAGGCGGUUCGUUAAGUCAGAUGUGAAAUCCCCAGGCUCAACCUGGGAACUGCAUCUGAUACUGGCAGGCGUGAGUCUCGUAGAGGGGGGUAGAAUUCCAGGUGUAGCGGUGAAAUGCGUAGAGAUCUGGAGGAAUACCGGUGGCGAAGGCGGCCCCCUGGACGAAGACUGACGCUCAGGUGCGAAAGCGUGGGGAGCAGACAGGAUUAGAUACCCCGGUAGUC
rnacentral:rRNA from 1 species